UACCUGGUCCAGGAGGCAGCGUCUCCCUCCCGUCCGGGAUAAGACACCCCCUCCGCGGGUCCCCUGCCCACUCUGGAGAGGCAGCCCCCGCUUGGAGGGACCAGGACCCGAGCCCUGCCCAUCCCCGAAUCCUGGGAGCCCUGCAUGGGGAGCGUCGAGGGCCUGGGUCGGGGGGCAAACUAGUGUGGAGCAAUGAAUCCGGGAAACCUGGCUGCUCACUGAUUACCCAGUAACUAUGGAGGUCCCCUGAAGGACAGACCUGUGCCCUUGAGGCAGGGCCCUGAAGGAGGCCAACUUUAAUGGAGGACAUACCAAGUGCCAGGCAGCAUUCCGAGCCCUGGAAUCCGGUGAUGAACAUGACAGACAAGAUUCCUGCCCCCAAGGAGCUGCACCUUAAUAAGUCCAGCAAUGAAGGAGACAGAAAAUAAACAGAGGAAAAUACACAAGAUGCCAGCUUGUGAGAAGUGCUAGCAAAAAAAGACACAAGUAUGUCCAGAGAGUCUGAGGUGUAUACAGAAAAGCAAAGAUUAAAUCCUCAUACCUCUCUGGAAAAGUGGAGGGGACCACAUUCCAGCAUCUGGUGCCCUGUUUGCCCCAAACAUGACUUCAAGUGAAUCGACAUAAUACUCUUCCAGAGGGAAAGCAGAACCAUCUGCAGGGCUGAGGGACCAAGAAACACAGCGAGGAAUUCCACAGGAGGCCCACGCGGCGGGAUGUGUCACCCCAGGUGGACUCUAGGGGACACUCACUUGGAACUUGCAUCACCCGGAACUGUGUCUGCCAAUGUGACUUCAGAGCAGCACAGACCUGAGGUGGAUCCAGCAAUGCCCACAACUGUCCAACAAUUUCACUUUUCCGAGGCUCAGUUUCUAUGUGGAAAAUGGACUGGCUCUGAGUAUUAAAUAAGGAUGAAUGUC